GAUGAACGCUGGCGGCGUGCCUAAUACAUGCAAGUCGAACGCGCAGCGAAAGGUGCUUGCACCUUUCAAGCGAGUGGCGAACGGGUGAGUAACACGUGGAUAACCUGCCUCAAGGCUGGGGAUAACAUUUGGAAACAGAUGCUAAUACCGAAUAAAACUUAGUAUCGCAUGAUACAAAGUUAAAAGGCGCUACGGCGUCACCUAGAGAUGGAUCCGCGGUGCAUUAGUUAGUUGGUGGGGUAAAGGCUUACCAAGACGAUGAUGCAUAGCCGAGUUGAGAGACUGAUCGGCCACAUUGGGACUGAGACACGGCCCAAACUCCUACGGGAGGCUGCAGUAGGGAAUCUUCCACAAUGGGCGCAAGCCUGAUGGAGCAACGCCGCGUGUGUGAUGAAGGCUUUCGGGUCGUAAAGCACUGUUGUAUGGGAAGAAAUGCUAAAAUAGGGAAUGAUUUUAGUUUGGCGGUACCAUACCAGAAAGGGACGGCUAAAUACGUGCCAGCAGCCGCGGUAAUACGUAUGUCCCGAGCGUUAUCCGGAUUUAUUGGGCGUAAAGCGAGCGCAGACGGUUGAUUAAGUCUGAUGUGAAAGCCCGGAGCUCAACUCCGGAAUGGCAUUGGAAACUGGCUAACUUGAGUGUUGUAGAGGUAAGUGGAACUCCAUGUGUAGCGGUGGAAUGCGUAGAUAUAUGGAAGAACACCAGUGGCGAAGGCGGCUUACUGGACAACAACUGACGUUGAGGCUCGAAAGUGUGGGUAGCAAACAGGAUUAGAUACCCUGGUAGUCCACACCGUAAACGAUGAAUACUAGGUGUUAGGAGGUUUCCGCCUCUUAGUGCCGAAGCUAACGCAUUAAGUAUUCCGCCUGGGGAGUACGACCGCAAGGUUGAAACUCAAAGGAAUUGACGGGGACCCGCACAAGCGGUGGAGCAUGUGGUUUAAUUCGAAGCAACGCGAAGAACCUUACCAGGUCUUGACAUCCUUUGAAGCUUUUAGAGAUAGAAGUGUUCUCUUCGGAGACAAAGUGACAGGUGGUGCAUGGUCGUCGUCAGCUCGUGUCGUGAGAUGUUGGGUUAAGUCCCGCAACGAGCGCAACCCUUAUUGUUAGUUGCCAGCAUUCAGUUGGGCACUCUAGCGAGACUGCCGGUGACAAACCGGAGGAAGGCGGGGACGACGUCAGAUCAUCAUGCCCCUUAUGACCUGGGCUACACACGUGCUACAAUGGCGUAUACAACGAGUUGCCAACCUGCGAAGGUGAGCUAAUCUCUUAAAGUACGUCUCAGUUCGGACUGCAGUCUGCAACUCGACUGCACGAAGUCGGAAUCGCUAGUAAUCGCGGAUCAGCACGCCGCGGUGAAUACGUUCCCGGGUCUUGUACACACCGCCCGUCACACCAUGGGAGUUUGUAAUGCCCAAAGCCGGUGGCCUAACCUUCGGGAGGGAGCCGUCUAAGGCAGGACAGAUGACUAGGGUG
rnacentral:rRNA from 1 species